rnacentral:rRNA from 1 species
GACGAACGCUGGCGGCGUGCCUAACACAUGCAAGUCGAGCGGAAAGGCCCUGCUCUUGUGCCGUGUGCGAGUGCCGCAAGCGGGAGUGACACGCGUGUAAACUGCCCUUUUCAUUGGGGUACCUUCAGGGAACAGGAGUGAUAACAGGGUAUAAACACUUGCAACAUGGGGGGGAUGGGUGAAUUUCGGAGGUGUGGCAUGGAAACGCGGCUUAUCAGCUUGUUGGCUGGGUGGUGGGUUACCAGGGCAUUGAGGGGAAGCCGGCCUGCGAGUGUGACCGGCCCCAUUGGGCCUGAGGUACGGCCCAGACUCCUACGGGAGGCAUCAGUGGGAGAUUUUGCACGAUGGGCGGAAGCCUUAUGCAGCAACUCCGCGUGCUGGAUGACGGCCUGCGGGUUGUAACCCGCUUUCGCCUGUGACGAAGCGUGAGUGACGGUAAUGGGUAAAGAAGCACCGGCUAACUACGUG